CCUACGGGUGGCAGCAGUGAGGAAUAUUGGUCAAUGGACGAGAGUCUGAACCAGCCAAGUAGCGUGAAGGAUGACUGCCCUAUGGGUUGUAAACUUCUUUUAUAUAGGAAUAAAACGAGGUAUGUGUGCCUUUUUGUAUGUACUUUAUGAAUAAGGAUCGGCUAACUCCGUGCCAGCAGCCGCGGUAAUACGGAGGAUCCGAGCGUUAUCCGGAUUUAUUGGGUUUAAAGGGAGCGUAGAUGGGUUGUUAAGUCAGUUGUGAAAGUUUGCGGCUCAACCGUAAAAUUGCAAUUGAUACUGGCAGUCUUGAGUACAGUAGAGGUAGGCGGAAUUCGUGGUGUAGCGGUGAAAUGCUUAGAUAUCACGAAGAACCCCGAUUGCGAAGGCAGCUUACUAAACUGUGACUGACAUUGAUGCUCGAAAGUGUGGGUAUCAAACAGGAUUAGAUACCCCUGUAGUC
rnacentral:rRNA from 1 species